rnacentral:tRNA from 2 species
GGGGAUGUAGCUCAAUUGGUUUAGAGUGCCGGCCUGUCACGCCGGAGGUUGCGGGUUCAAGUCCCGUCAUCCUCGCCA